rnacentral:rRNA from 1 species
UAGAGUUUGAUCAUGGCUCAGAUUGAACGCUGGCGGCAGGCUUAACACAUGCAAGUCGAACGGUAACAUAAAGAAGCUUGCUUCUUUGAUGACGAGUGGCGGACGGGUGAGUAAUGCUUGGGAAUCUAGCUUAUGGAGGGGGAUAACUACGGGAAACUGUAGCUAAUACCGCGUAAUAUCGAAAGAUUAAAGUGUGGACCUUCGGGCCACAUGCCAUAGGAUGAGCCCAAGUGGGAUUAGGUAGUUGGUGAGGUAAAGGCUCACCAAGCCGACGAUCUCUAGCUGGUCUGAGAGGAUGACCAGCCACACUGGGACUGAGACACGGCCCAGACUCCUACGGGAGGCAGCAGUGGGGAAUAUUGCNCAAUGNGGGCAACCNUGACGCAGCCAUGCCGCGUGAAUGAAGAAGCCCUUCGGNUUGUAAGUUCUUUCGGUAGCGAGGAAGCAUUUAGNUUANAGACUAGGUGAUUGACGUUACUACNAAGAAGCNCGGCUANUUCGGGCCACCGCCCGNUAUAAGAAGGGGNNGCCUUAUCGGAUACUGNCCUAAGNNCNNUGACGUUNCUUAGCGGAGUAAACCCGGGCUCACCUGGAUUGCGCNACUGNUCAUNNA